rnacentral:rRNA from 1 species
UUCUAGAGCCAUACCACCUCAAAUAUGCCCAGUCUCAUCUGAUCUCAGAAACUAAGCAGGGUCAGGCCUGGUUCUUCCUCGGAUGGGAUGCUCUAAGGU